rnacentral:rRNA from 1 species
GACGGAGGAUGCAAGUGUUAUCCGGAAUCACUGGGCGUAAAGCGUCUGUAGGUGGUUUAAAAAGUCUACUGUUAAAAAUUGAAGCUUAACUUCAAAGAUGCCGUAGAAACUUUUAAACUCGAGGAUGGUAGGGGUAGAGGGAAUUUCCAGUGGAGCGGUGAAAUGCGUAGAUCUUGGAAAGACCACCAAUGGCGAAGGCACUCUACUGGGCCAUUACUGACACUGAGAGACGAAAGCUAGGGGAGCAAAUGGG